UACGAAGGGGGCUAGCGUUGCUCGGAAUCACUGGGCGUAAAGGUGCGUAGGCGGGUCUUUAAGUCAGGGGUGAAUCCUGGAGCUCAACUCCAGAACUGCCUUUGAUACUGAAGAUCUUGAGUUCGGGAGAGGUGAGGUGGAAACUGCGAGUGUAGAGGUGAAAUUCGUAGAUAUUCGCAAGAACACCAGUGGCGAAGGCGGACUCACUGGCCCGAGUACUGACGCUGA
rnacentral:rRNA from 1 species